UAAGGGAGACCUCCCACUUGAGAAUCAGGAACUCAGAAGUAUGCCGUAAAUGGCAAGGCUUUUGAAGUUUUUUACCUUCUUUAAGUUGGUCAACCAGGUCGUUCGAGAUUAAGUGUGUGACUCUCAAGCUAUUUAGGUUUGGAUUAUGGGCUAUUAGCUCAGGUGGUUAGAGCGCACCCCUGAUAAGGGUGAGGUCCCUGGUUCGAGUCCAGGAUGGCCCACCUUUUGAGAUUCUGAUGUCUGAAGGCAGUUCUCAGUGCAACUAAUGUCUGCACCGAAUUCAAUAGCCAAUUAGCCAGGGAGUUCUCAUACUUGGGGGUUUAGCUCAGUUGGUAGAGCGCCUGCUUUGCAAGCAGGAUGUCAGCGGUUCGAGUCCGCUAACYCCCACUGAAAAACUGAAUUUCAGCAAUCUAGUCAGGUUAAUUCUGAUGGAUUUGCUGGGGUKUYCCCAGCCAGAACCUUGAAAACUGCAUAGCAAYUUGUCAGGUAGAAACCUAGGCAUCUCUUCUUAUGGUCACAGUUCUAAGUUACUUAGAACAGUCCUAUAGGAAGUAAUGUUUAGCAAUCACAGACACCAAAACGAUUUUAGU
rnacentral:tRNA from 1 species